AGGAAUAUUGGUCAAUGGGCGCGAGCCUGAACCAGCCAAGUCGCGUGAGGGAAGACGGCCCUACGGGUUGUAAACCUCUUUUGUCGGGGAGCAAGGACUGCCACGAGUGGCAGGGCGAGAGUACCCGAAGAAAAAGCAUCGGCUAACUCCGUGCCAGCAGCCGCGGUAAUACGGAGGAUGCGAGCGUUAUCCGGAUUUAUUGGGUUUAAAGGGUGCGUAGGCGGAAGUUCAAGUCAGCGGUAAAAUCGAGGGGCUCAACCCCUUUAAGCCGUUGAAACUGGGUUUCUUGAGUGGGCGAGAAGUGUGCGGAAUGUGUGGUGUAGCGGUGAAAUGCAUAGAUAUCACACAGAACUCCGAUUGCGAAGGCAGCACACCGGCGCCCAACUGACGCUGAGGCACGAAAGCGUGGGGAUCAAACAGGAUUAGAUACCCUGGUAGUCCACGCAGUAAACGAUGAACACUAGGUGUGCGGGUCGAAUGAGAUCUGCGUGCCACAGCGAAAGCGUUAAGUGUUCCACCUGGGGAGUACGCCGGCAACGGUGAAACUCAAAGGAAUUGACGGGGGCCCGCACAAGCGGAGGAACAUGUGGUUUAAUUCGAUGAUACGCGAGGAACCUUACCCGGGCUCAAACGGCAGAGGAAAGUUUUUGAAAGGAGGCUGCUCUACGGAGUCUCUGCCGAGGUGCUGCAUGGUUGUCGUCAGCUCGUGCCGUGAGGUGUCGGCUUAAGUGCCAUAACGAGCGCAACCCCUACCGCCAGUUGCCAUCAGGUAAAGCUGGGGACUCUGGCGGGACUGCCGGCGCAAGCUGUGAGGAAGGCGGGGAUGACGUCAAAUCAGCACGGCCCUUACGUCCGGGGCGACACACGUGUUACAAUGGCAGGUACAGCGGGAAGCCACCGAGCGAUCGGGAGCAGAACCCGAAAACCUGUCUCAGUUCGGAUUGGAGUCUGCAACUCGACUCCAUGAAGCUGGAUUCGCUAGUAAUCGCGCAUCAGCCAUGGCGCGGUGAAUACGUUCCCG
rnacentral:rRNA from 1 species